GUAGGUGGCAAGCGUUGUCCGGAAUUAUUGGGCGUAAAGCGCGCGCAGGGCGGUCCUUUAAGUCUGAUGUGAAAGCCCACGGCUCAACCGUGGAGGGUCAUUGGAAACUGGGGGACUUGAGUACAGAAGAGGAAAGCGGAAUUCCAAGUGUAGCGGUGAAAUGCGUAGAGAUUUGGAGGAACACCAGUGGCGAAGGCGGCUUUCUGGUCUGUAACUGACGCUGAGGCGCGAAAGCGUGGGGAGCAAACAGGAUUAGAUACCCUGGUAGUCAACGCCGUAAACGAUGAGUGCUAAGUGUUAGGGGGUUUCCGCCCCUUAGUGCUGCAGCUAACGCAUUAAGCACUCCGCCUGGGGAGUACGGCCGCAAAGGCUG
rnacentral:rRNA from 1 species